CCUACGGGUGGCAGCAGUGAGGAAUAUUGGUCAAUGGACGAGAGUCUGAACCAGCCAAGUAGCGUGAAGGAUGACUGCCCUAUGGGUUGUAAACUUCUUUUAUAUGGGAAUAAAACGUUCCACGUGUGGGAUUUUGUAUGUACCAUAUGAAUAAGGAUCGGCUAACUCCGUGCCAGCAGCCGCGGUAAUACGGAGGGUCCGAGCGUUAUCCGGAUUUAUUGGGUUUAAAGGGAGCGUAGGUGGAUUGUUAAGUCAGUUGUGAAAGUUUGCGGCUCAACCGUAAAAUUGCAGUUGAAACUGGCAGUCUUGAGUACAGUAGAGGUGGGCGGAAUUCGUGGUGUAGCGGUGAAAUGCUUAGAUAUCACGAAGAACUCCGAUUGCGAAGGCAGUUCACUGGACUGCAACUGACACUGAGGCUCGAAAGUGUGGGUAUCAAACAGGAUUAGAUACCCUUGUAGUC
rnacentral:rRNA from 1 species